rnacentral:rRNA from 1 species
AGCAGUCGCCGCGGUAAUACGAAGGGUGCAAGCGUUACUCGGAAUUACUGGGCGUAAAGCGUGCGUAGGUGGUGGUUUAAGUCCGUUGUGAAAGCCCUGGGCUCAACCUGGGAAUUGCAGUGGAUACUGGAUCACUAGAGUGUGGUAGAGGAUAGUGGAAUUUCCGGUGUAGCAGUGAAAUGCGUAGAGAUCGGAAGGAACAUCUGUGGCGAAGGCGACUAUCUGGGCCAACACUGACACUGAGGCACGAAAGCGUGGGAGCAAACAGGAUUAGAUACCCCCGUAGUCCCUGUCUCUUAUACA